GCCUGGCUGGCUUGGUUGGUAGAGCAUGUGACUCCUGAUCUCAGAGUUGUGAGUUCAAGCCUCACAUUGGGCA